UUGACGAACGCUGGCGGCGUGCUUAACACAUGCAAGUCGAACGGAAAGGCCCUGCUUUUGUGGGGUGCUCGAGUGGCGAACGGGUGAGUAACACGUGAGUAACCUGCCCUUGACUUUGGGAUAACUUCAGGAAACUGGGGCUAAUACCGGAUAGGAGCUCCUGCUGCAUGGUGGGGGUUGGAAAGUUUCGGCGGUUGGGGAUGGACUCGCGGCUUAUCAGCUUGUUGGUGGGGUAGUGGCUUACCAAGGCUUUGACGGGUAGCCGGCCUGAGAGGGUGACCGGCCACAUUGGGACUGAGAUACGGCCCAGACUCCUACGGGAGGCAGCAGUGGGGAAUAUUGCACAAUGGGCGGAAGCCUGAUGCAGCAACGCCGCGUGCGGGAUGACGGCCUUCGGGUUGUAAACCGCUUUCGCCUGUGACGAAGCGUGAGUGACGGUAAUGGGUAAAGAAGCACCGGCUAACUACGUGCCAGCAGCCGCGGUGAUACGUAGGGUGCGAGCGUUGUCCGGAUUUAUUGGGCGUAAAGGGCUCGUAGGUGGUUGAUCGCGUCGGAAGUGUAAUCUUGGGGCUUAACCCUGAGCGUGCUUUCGAUACGGGUUGACUUGAGGAAGGUAGGGGAGAAUGGAAUUCCUGGUGGAGCGGUGGAAUGCGCAGAUAUCAGGAGGAACACCAGUGGCGAAGGCGGUUCUCUGGGCCUUUCCUGACGCUGAGGAGCGAAAGCGUGGGGAGCGAACAGGCUUAGAUACCCUGGUAGUCCACGCUGUAAACGGUGGGUACUAGGUGUGGGGUCCAUUCCACGGGUUCCGUGCCGUAGCUAACGCUUUAAGUACCCCGCCUGGGGAGUACGGCCGCAAGGCUAAAACUCAAAGGAAUUGACGGGGCCCCGCACAAGCGGCGGAGCAUGCGGAUUAAUUCGAUGCAACGCGUAGAACCUUACCUGGGUUUGACAUGGAUCGGGAGUGCUCAGAGAUGGGUGUGCCUCUUUUGGGGUCGGUUCACAGGUGGCACAUGGCUGUCGUCAGCUCGUGUCGUGAGAUGUUGGGUUAAGUCCCGCAACGAGCGCAACCCUUGUUCACUGUUGCCAGCACGUUAUGGUGGGGACUCAGUGGAGACCGCCGGGGUCAACUCGGAGGAAGGUGGGGAUGACGUCAAGUCAUCAUGCCCCUUAUGUCCAGGGCUUCACGCAUGCUACAAUGGCUGGUACAGAGAGUGGCGAGCCUGUGAGGGUGAGCGAAUCUCGGAAAGCCGGUCUCAGUUCGGAUUGGGGUCUGCAACUCGACCUCAUGAAGUCGGAGUCGCUAGUAAUCGCAGAUCAGCAACGCUGCGGUGAAUACGUUCCCGGGGCUUGUACACACCGCCCGUCAAGUCAUGAAAGUUGGUAACACCCGAAGCCGGUGGCCUAACCGUUGUGGGGGAGCCGUCGAAGGUGGGACUAGUGA
rnacentral:rRNA from 1 species